GUCAGGUAGGGGCGCUCUCAGCCAAUGAGCAGGGCGAGGUAGGGGUGGUCUCAGCCAAUAAGCAGGGUCAGGUAGGGGCUACUCUCAGCCAAUGAGCAUGGUCAGGUAGGGGCGCUCUCAGCCGAUGAGCAGGGACUGGUAUGAGCAAUGUCACUUUCAAUCAGGCAGCAUGCUGGGUUAGCAGAUUAAUUGUUCUUCAGUUCAGUGAUGACCUCACUAAAAUAUCCUAGGUGGGAGUUCUAUCACUCAUGCCUUCUCCAUUGAGCGGUUU